CAGCAACGAAUCUUCCCCAAUGCCGGAAACGGUGAGGGAGCGACGCCGCGUGUGGGACGAAGUUCUUCGGAAUGUAAACCACUGUUAGGGUUAUGAAAGCGAUGCGCGUUAAUACCGCGCAAAGUUGAUCUAGCCCAGAGAAAGGGACGGCUAACUCUGUGCCAGCAGCCGCGGUAAUACAGAGGUCCCAAGCGUUACUGAGAAUCACUGGGUUUAAAGGGUGCGUAGGUGGCGCGUUAAGUCAGUUGUGAAAUCCCCGGGCUCAACCCGGGAACUGCUUCUGAUACUGGCGUGCUUGAGGCGAGUAGAGGUCACUGGAACUGACGGUGGAGCGGUGAAAUGCGUAGAUAUCGUCAGGAACGCCAAUGGUGAAGACAGGUGACUGGGCUCGAUCUGACACUGAGGCACGAAAGCGUGGGGAGCGAACGGGAUUAGA
rnacentral:rRNA from 1 species